UGAUGUUUUUAGGUAAUGUAAUUCUGCUAGGUCACAUUAUGAGAAUGAGUUUUAGAUCUUUUAACAUAUCAACAGUUAUACAGAGCGCACAUCCGAGAUAACAUGUCGUUCAUAACGAAAAUAAAGAAUAAUAUGUGUACAUGUAUAUGCCAUUAUCAGUUAUAUAAUCUAUUUCAGAAACUUUUGCCUAUUCGAUCAAUGACGAGAGUAAAUUACAAACAGAUUUAUUGACUGGUUACAAUAUCAACGUUCGACCGGCUGAUCAAGUUUACGUACAAUGUUCUCUUACAAUAAACAAUCUGUUGUCACUGGAUAUUGUAGAUCAGACCUUAGCAGUUAUAGGAUCUUUGGUAGUCAUGUGGCAUGAUCAUCGCCUUUCUUGGAACAUAUCUCAGAAUGGAAACGUGUCUGACGUAUAUUUCAAAUCAGGUCAAAUAUGGAGACCUACACUUGCAUUGAAAAACUCUGUUACUGGAACAGAAGUAAUAGGUGAUGAUGGGAAUCAGAAAAGUAUCCCAAUGAAUGUAAACCCCAGUGGUUCAGUAUUUUGGCUCGCACCAGCUUACUUUGUGUUAUCCUGCUCAGUGGACAUCUCAAAGUUUCCCUUCGAUACACAGACAUGUGAAAUUGUGAUAUCAACAUGGAUGUUCUCGACUAGUACAAUCAAAUUGAAAAACGUUUAUGACGUAAUUGAUAUUGAACGUUUGGAUCAAAAUGGCGAAUAUGACGUCAUACAAA